GGCAGGAGGGAGCUACAGACCACGACAUGACACCCAAGAGAGAGAGAGGUGCUGAGCCCAAUGCACAGAUCUACGCGAAAGCGGUGCAGAAAGUCCUUUCUGAGAGAGCUCGUCUCCGGGCUGGAGGGCUUCCUACAGCAGCAGGUCCCAGCUCAGGGG